rnacentral:rRNA from 1 species
GGAGGGAUCAUUACCGAGUUUACAACUCCCAAACCCCUGUGAACAUACCACUUGUUGCCUCGGCGGAUCAGCCCGCUCCCGGUAAAACGGGACGGCCCGCCAGAGGACCCCUAAACUCUGUUUCUAUAUGUAACUUCUGAGUAAAACCAUAAAUAAAUCAAAACUUUCAACAACGGAUCUCUUGGUUCUGGCAUCGAUGAAGAACGCAGCAAAAUGCGAUAAGUAAUGUGAAUUGCAGAAUUCAGUGAAUCAUCGAAUCUUUGAACGCACAUUGCGCCCGCCAGUAUUCUGGCGGGCAUGCCUGUUCGAGCGUCAUUUCAACCCUCAAGCACAGCUUGGUGUUGGGACUCGCGUUAAUUCGCGUUCCUCAAAUUGAUUGGCGGUCACGUCGAGCUUCCAUAGCGUAGUAGUAAAACCCUCGUUACUGGUAAUCGUCGCGGCCACGCCGUUAAACCCCAACUUCUGAAUGUUGACCUCGGAUCAGGUAGGAAUACCCG